CGGAAGGGCACCACCAGGAG
rnacentral:ncRNA from 3 species